CUCUCUUGGAAAACAGGGUAGCCACAUUCCCAAUUUCACGGUGAUGGAGAAGUCCCCGUAACGACCUUAUUUCGUUGUCGUUCCUUCGCAAAAGUUGCACAUCAUCACCUCCUAUAUGAUAUUCCCAAUAUAUCUGACCCAAACACCCAGCGUUCGUGGCCAAUUUUGGCUGGAACAGUCCAGUAAUCGCGGCUUGCUACAAAUCCAAUUUCAAGGCGACUUUCUGUCGCUGUAACGACUUUAUCUCACCAUCAUUCCUUCACGAAAGUUGCUCGGCAUCACCUUCUCUAUCAUCUCCCGAAAGUAUUCGACCCAAAAAGUCGGAGUUCAGGGCCAAUUUUGGCUAGAGCAGUCCAGCAGUCACGGCCUACCACAAACCCAAUUUCACGCCGACUUUCUGUUGCCUUAACGGCCUUAUGUCGCCAUCAUUCCUUUACGAAAGUUGCUUACCAUCACCUUCCCUAUCAUCUCCCCAAAACACCAGACCCGAAACAGCCGGAGUUUAACAGUCCAACAGUUCCUGUUUGUGAAUUGCAGUUUCCAUUUCUACAUUGCAGUUUCUGCUUCUGUGUAGCAGUUUCUGCUUCUGUAUUGCACUUUUCGCUUCUAUACUGUAGUUUCCGCUUCUACAUUGCAGUUUUCAUUUUGAUUGGUGGUUGAUGUGCAGAGUGUUGGGGUUUCAUUUGGACUGGAAAGGGAGUUUGCAUUGUGUGAGCUCGCACUAUAGCAUUUGCACUUUUUUUUAAUAGUGUUUGCUUGUUUGUGAAGAGAGAGUGGGUGUGUGUGUGUGUUGAUGGAAAAUUGGGGAUUGGAUACGGAGGAGCUGAGGUUAUGAUGCUUCUAACGCAGAACUACUAGGUUUUGCCUUAAUCGGAAGGAGGGGAGUUCUUUGACAUUUGCAUUGGUGGUGAGGUAUUUUUAGUUGAUCUCUCCAGUAUUAGUUUCAUUAUUAUCUAUUUUUUUUGUAUGUCUUCUCAUUUUGUUAUUGAACCACGCAACCUCAACGGAUUACAUUUGACCAAGAUAAAGUGACCUCAUUUUUUUAAAUAUGAACUUGUUAAGUGGCUUGUGGUUUGAUGUGUUGGAAUCUUUGGUAUUUAGAUAGCCUAUUGCUCGGUUGAUCAUUUUAGCAAACCCAUAAUUUAAUGUGAUGUCCGUUUGGCAAAAUGAGGAAUUCUAUCCUUUACUACGUCAAAUGUCGUCCUUGUGAGAUCAGUUUUGCACACACUGCAUUACUAAAUUGUUUUAUCAUUUCCUAGCAUUGGAAGUAGAAUCUUAUGAACAUUAAUAAUUAUAUAUUAUUGAUGAAAUAUAGUUUGUUUUUCAAUAAUGAAAAAUGAAAGAUUACAUUUUGAUUGGCCAAAGAAAACAAUAUUGAUUUCAUUACCAUUAUACCAACUCUUUAGUUUAGGUGAAUAAGAACAUGCAAUUUUAACCUGAAGCAACAUUUUUAUAAUUAAUCAAGUUCUCGGAGAUGAAGGGCGAUCUUCAAUUACACAAAAUCUUCUUCUUCUUUUUUUAGAAACUGCAUUGUCGACAAUAGAAACUACAUUGUAGAAAACAGAGACUGCAAUGCAGAAAACGGAAAUUGCAAUGUAGAAAUAGAAACUGCAACCCGGAAAACGAAAACUGCAAUGCGGAAAAUGGAAACUGCAGCGUAGUGUUUGGUUCCUCUCUUAUUAAUAUGUUUAUUUUUCCCAUACUAUGCAGUGUACUUUUUGUUUAUAUAAAAUUAGUUUGUGUUUUUGUUUUAAAAUCCCACUUAAAUAUGGGAAAUUUCGGUUUUUCUAGAAACUGCAGUGCAUUUUUCGAUCCUCUUUUUCUAUUGCAGUAUUCAUGUUUUGAUGUGAAGCUCAGUUUUUCUAUUGUUGAGGUAUGUAUAUUCUUGAUCAAAUUGUUAUUUGAAUUUUCUAGUUAUUUUUUGGUUUUUAUAUGUUAAUUUUUCUAGUACUUUCGUCAUGGUUUUGCCUUAGUUCCUCACUUAUUAGUAGGUGUAUUUUGGGAUGUGGCUUACUAGGCGAUGCAUUACAAUUUCUAAUUUUAUUAUAUGAUUUUAUUUGUUUUGGCUGUUUCUUACUAGCUGUUGGCAUGAAUUUUUUGGUUCUCAUUUUUUGUUUUUGUUUGAAAUUUCUGUUUACAUUAUUAAUAUCUACACUAUUUUGUUUUGCAUAACUCUAGAGCUAAGCAUGAGGGAUUUGGUACAAAUUUUGCACGUAUCGAUGUUGAAGCUACUUGGACAACCUUGUUCCUCCU
rnacentral:lncRNA from 1 species